AACACAUUUUUUUCUCCAAAGUCCUGUAGAGUAUUCUAAUAUACAUAUUUGACCUCAAUUAGAAUGCCCGUGCCACAAUCAAUGAUGCACGAACGUGGGGCAUGUGCACGUGCACACAUGCAUGCGAGCCCGGACACAUGCAUGGGAGGGAGGACCAGUUCAUUACUAGCAACAGAGUCAAGUACAUAGAAAGGGCGAAAUACAGUCAAAAAAAUGUUACCGUCAAACUGAUCCAUCGAAGAGUCUAGAUGUAUUUCUCCAUAUCUUGCUAAAAUGUGGCAAUACAGGAUCAGCAUACACUCAGACAGCUCUCAUAAUGGGGACUGAUAACAGUGACUCGAAAUGGAUUGGCUUGACUACAAGGCGGGGACCAUGUGUACGCAAGAGAGGCAAAUAGGGACAUUGCUGAGUGAGCCAGGGUUUCUGUCAGGCCUUGCUUUCCUUGGGUCAUGCCUGGGGCUUGGUCCCGCAUAACCAUACGAUGUCCCCCGGAGACUUUCUUGCGCGCACUAGGGUCCGAAGAAUUAAAUAAAGUACAACUCCUUGAGUAAAUUACAAUGUUACCAAAGAAAAAUACAUCAUAUGGCAUGCAUGAAACU
rnacentral:lncRNA from 1 species